GACGAACCAUGCAAACGUUAUUCGGAUUCACUGGGCUUAAAGCGUGCGUAGGCGGUCUUGUUAGUCAGGUGUGAAAGCCCCGGGCUUAACCUGGGAACCGCAUUUGUGACUGCAUAGCUGGAGUACGGCAGAGGGGGAUGGAAUUCCGCGUGUAGCGGUGAAAUGCGCAGAUAUCAGGAGGAACACCGGUGGCGAAGGCGGUCUCUGGGCAUUACCUGACGCUGGAGGAGCGAAAGUGUGGGGAGGCGAACAGG
rnacentral:rRNA from 1 species